UACGUAGGUGGCAAGCGUUGUCCGGAUUUACUGGGCGUAAAGGGAGCGUAGGCGGACCUUUAAGUGAGAUGUGAAAUACCCGAGCUCAACUUGGGUGCUGCAUUUCAAACUGGAGGUCUAGAGUGUCGGAGAGGUAAGUGGAAUUCCUAGUGUAGCGGUGAAAUGCGUAGAGAUUAGGAGGAACACCAGUGGCGAAGGCGGCUCUCUGGUUUGUAACUGACGCUGAGGCGCGAAAGCGUGGGUAGCGAACAGGAUUAGAUACCCUGGUAGU
rnacentral:rRNA from 1 species